rnacentral:rRNA from 1 species
UACGGAGGAUGCGAGCGUUAUCCGGAUUUAUUGGGUUUAAAGGGUGCGUAGGCGGCCGAGUAAGUCAGCGGUGAAAUUUUGCAGCUUAACUGUAACAAUGCCGUUGAUACUGCAUGGCUAGGAUUUGGUUGCUGUGGGUGGAAUGUGUGGUGUAGCGGUGAAAUGUUUAGAUAUCACACAGAAUAUAGAUUGCGAAGGCAGCUCACAAAGCCAAGAUUGACGCUGAGGCACGAAAGUGUGGGGAUCAAACAGGAUUAGAUACCCAGGUAGUCCACACUGUAAACGAUGAUAACUCGCUGCCGGCGAUACACAGUCGGUAGCCAAGCGAAAGCGAUAAGUUAUCCACCUGGGGGGUACGACCGCAAGGUUGAA